rnacentral:rRNA from 1 species
CCGGCGACCGGCGCACGGGUGAGUAACACGUAUGCAACCUGGCCGUGACAGAUGGAUAACCGGGAGAAAUCCCGCCUAAUACAACAUAAUGCCGGGAGGGGACAUCCCCUGCCGGCCAAAGGGGGCGACCCAGGUCACGGAUGGGCAUGCGGCGCAUUAGGUAGUUGGUGGGGCAACGGCCCACCAAGCCGACGAUGCGUAGGGGUUCUGAGAGGAAGGUCCCCCACAUUGGAACUGAGACACGGUCCAAACUCCUACGGGAGGCAGCAG